CUACGGGCUGCUCCAGUGGGGAAUAUUGCACAAUGGAGGAAACUCUGAUGCAGCAACGCCGCGUGGAGGAAGACACUUUUCGGAGCGUAAACUCCUUUUAUAUAGGAAGAAGAUGACGGUACUAUAUGAAUAAGCGCCGGUUAACUCCGUGCCAGCAGCCGCGGUAAUACGGAGGGCGCAGGCGUUACUCGGAAUCACUGGGCGUAAAGAGCGUGUAGGCGGAUUAAAAAGUCAGAAGUGAAAUCCUAUAGCUUAACUAUAGAACUGCUUCUGAAACUCUUAAUCUAGAAUAUGGGAGAGGUAGAUGGAAUUUCUGGUGUAGGGGUAAAAUCCGUAGAGAUCAGAAGGAAUACCGAUUGCGAAGGCGAUCUACUAGAACAUUAUUGACGCUGAGACGCGAAAGCGUGGGGAGCAAACAGGAUUAGAUACCCUAGUAGUC
rnacentral:rRNA from 1 species